GUGUCAGCAGCCGCGGUAAUACGGAAGGUGCAAGCGUUGUUCGGAUUGACUGGGCGUAAAGAGCACGUAGGCGGGUUCGUGUGUCGAUUGUGAAAGCCCCAGGCUCAACCUGGGAAUUGCAGUCGAAACUGCGAAUCUUGAAUAUCUGAGAGGUUGGUGGAAUUCCAGGUGUAGGAGUGAAAUCCGUAGAUAUCUGGAGGAACAUCGGAGGCGAAGGCGGCCAACUGGUAGAGUAUUGACGCUGAGGUGCGAAAGCGUGGGGAGCAAACAGGAUUAGAUACCCCGGUAGUCC
rnacentral:rRNA from 1 species